rnacentral:rRNA from 1 species
UACGAAGGGGGCUAGCGUUGUUCGGAAUUACUGGGCGUAAAGCGCACGUAGGCGGAUUGUUAAGUCGGGGGUGAAAUCCUGGAGCUCAACUCCAGAACUGCCUUCGAUACUGGCGAUCUCGAGUCCGGGAGAGGUGAGUGGAACUGCGAGUGUAGAGGUGAAAUUCGUAGAUAUUCGCAAGAACACCAGUGGCGAAGGCGGCUCACUGGCCCGGUACUGACGCUGAGGUGCGAAAGCGUGGGGAGCAAACAGG